UAUCCUUCAUCAUCUCUUCUUGGUGAUUCCAAGGAUGAGGCAAAUGCAUCUCUACCCAUAGUUUCCAUCUCUUUUCCCAGAUUUACGCGGUCUCCAUCACUAUACGUAUAGUGUUGGGAUUUAUGCUGCUCACCGUGUUCUGAGAAUUUGACUUUCCUCCAUUCAUGGUGCUCGUCAUUGCCAUCCUCAACGAUGGUGAGUCCCAUCGGCGUCUCCAUCGACAAUUCCAAACUAGCAAUCGCUUCAAUCGGUAAACUCAUGUUUUUCCGACUGCCGAACCAGGCGCCGUGUCGCCGGCUACUGCUGGAGAGGAAGUCACCGCUUCUGGAAGUCGCCGCUGCUGAGGAAGGGUCGCGCCGCCGACUGGAGUGCUCCGCGCCGCAGAGGAAGGGUCGCCGCUGCUGCUGCCGCUGGAGAGGAAGGUCGCCGCCGCCGGUGGAUAUUUUUGGGGAAGGUCGCCGCAAAACUGGAGAGAAAGGGAUUUUCUGAUUUUUGUUUUAUUUUUUAUUCUCUAAGUCAAAUAAAAUUUAUUUUAAUUUCCUUUUAUUUUUAUUCAGUAAUUAGUAAGGGUUAUUUU